rnacentral:rRNA from 1 species
CAGCCGUAAACUAUGCGCGUUAGGUGUACUGGUGACCACGAGUCACCGGGGUGCCGAAGGGAAACCGUGAAACGUGCCGCCUGGGAAGUACGGUCGCAAGGCUGAAACUUCAAGGAAUUGGCGGGGGAGCACCACAACGGGUGGAGCCUGCGGUUUAAUUGGACUCAACGCCGGAAAUCUCACCGGAUAGGACAGACAUAUGAUAGUCGGGCUGAAGACUCUACUUGAUGAUCUGAGAGGAGGUGCAUGGCGUCAGUGACU